rnacentral:lncRNA from 1 species
CCCGAUAAGAACCCCUAUAAAUAGAGGGCACCCCCCACUCAUUAAAGGCAGGUCAUUUGGAGCGAAAGGAUUCCUAGCGAAGCAGAGCUCUGCACACUUGAGUUCCGGUCCGGUUUCCCGCGGAGUUCCCCGCUUGGCGCUUGCUUGCGCGUCUUGGAGUACUGGUCGGGUUUCGCCCCCAUCAGUUGGCGCCGUCUGUGACUCAAAGAUACUCACGACAAAAGCUCCUCGACUUUUUCGAAAAAAGUGAUCGACUUUUUUCCAAGUCGCCAGCUAGGGAGUCUUGCGAGGAAAUCAGCCAGCAAGGGAUC